rnacentral:rRNA from 1 species
CCUUUGACGUUAGCGGCGGACGGGUGAGUAACACGUGGGUAACCUACCUAUAAGACUGGGAUAACUUCGGGAAACCGGAGCUAAUGCCGGAUAAUAUUUCGAACCGCAUGGUUCGAUAGUGAAAGGUGGUUUUGCUAUCACUUAUAGAUGGACCCGCGCCGUAUUAGCUAGUUGGUAAGGUAACGGCUUACCAAGGCGACGAUACGUAGCCGACCUGAGAGGGUGAUCGGCCACACUGGAACUGAGACACGGUCCAGACUCCUACGGGAGGCAGCAGUG